GUGCCCGUAACUCAGUGGUAGAGUGUGAGAUUGCAAUAAUAUCCCAUAUUGCACACCAUCUUGAAGCCCCGUGUUCGACCCACGGCGGGCACU